rnacentral:tRNA from 1 species
GCCCUGGUAGUCUAGCUCGGUCUAGGAUAAGGGACUGUCAAUCCCUCGACCCGGGUGAAGCUUUUCUUUCCAAAGAAAAGCUCCAGGACCAAAAGAAAGGGUUUUAAUCCCGGCCAGGGCG